rnacentral:sRNA from 1 species
UCCCUCACGGAUCCAUAUGCACAUUCUGUCUAAGAGGAUGACUUCCCUGAAUAGAGGAGGACUGGUCUCAAUCAAGGGUACAUGAGUAGCUGCACUCCCCUGCUAGAACCUCCCAAAAAGCCAAUGGAUUCUUUACAGCCUGGAAUUCCAUU